rnacentral:misc_RNA from 1 species
CAGAGUUAGGGUCUUCCAGGCCCGACCUCCCAACCCUAUGUUUAUUUGACUUAUUCGUUGCUUCGGCGGGCCCGUCCUCGGACCGCCGGAGGACCGUUACCGGUCCUCUGGCCCGCGCUCGCCGGUGGCCUCGUUAAACUCUUGAAUGAAUCGUGGCAUUGUCUGAGUUAUAUAUCUAAAUAAAACA